UUUCUCCUAACUUCAACCUUUCUCUUCCACCUCCAAACUGCAACUUUCACCUGCCACCUACGACCCGCCAAUGGACAGAUCUUGAACCCGUAGGCAAUGGGGUGCUCCAAGUUCGUCGGCAUCUUCAUCUGUGACAAAUGACAAGUGCCCUGCAAACUACCCAUGUUGUUGUUGACUUCAAGGAGCAUCGACAAUCUCGGAAGACAUUUUUGGAGAUGUUGGAAUUGGGCGAUAAGUG
rnacentral:lncRNA from 1 species